ACGGGAGGCAGCAGUGGGGAAUAUUAGGCAAUGGGGGCAACCCUGACCUAGCAACGCCGCGUGAAGGAAGAAGGCCUUCGGGUUGUAAACUUCUUUUAUAGGGGACGAAACAAAUGACGGUACCCUAUGAAUAAGCCACGGCUAACUACGUGCCAGCAGCCGCGGUAAUACGAAGGUGGCAAGCGUUGUCCGGAUUUACUGGGUGUAAAGGGCGCGUAGGCGGGAUGGCAAGUCAGAUGUGAAAUCCAUGGGCUCACCCCAUGAACUGCAUUUGCAACUGUCGUUCUUGAGUGUCGGAGAGGCCAGCGGAAUUCCUAGUGUCGCUGUGAAAUGCGUAGAUAUUAGGAGGAACCCCAGUGGCGAAGGCUGCUUGCUGGACGAUAACUGACGCUGAGUCGCGAUAGCGUUGUGAGCAAACAGGAUUAGAUACCCUGGUA
rnacentral:rRNA from 1 species